UACGUAGGUGGCAAGCGUUGUCCGGAUUUACUGGGCGUAAAGGGCGUGCAGGCGGUUUGUUUAGUCUAGGGUGAAAGCUCCCGGCUUAACUGGGAGAGGUCCUUGGAUACUGGCAAACUUGAGGGAGGCAGAGGAAAGUGGAAUUCCCGGUGUAGUGGUGAUAUGCGUAGAUAUCGGGAGGAACACCAAUGGCGAAGGCAGCUCGCUGGGACGUUACUGACGCUGAGACGCGAAAGCGUGGGGAGCAAACAGG
rnacentral:rRNA from 1 species